rnacentral:rRNA from 1 species
GACGAACGCUGGCGGCGUGCUUAACACAUGCAAGUCGAACGGAAAGGCCCUGCUUUUGUGGGGUGCUCGAGUGGCGAACGGGUGAGUAACACGUGAGUAACCUGCCCUUGACUUUGGGAUAACUUCAGGAAACUGGGGCUAAUACCGGAUCGGAGCUCCUGCUGCAUGGUGGGGGUUGGAAAGUUUCGGCGGUUGGGGAUGGACUCGCGGCUUAUCAGCUUGUUGGUGGGGUAGUGGCUUACCAAGGCUUUGACGGGUAGCCGGCCUGAGAGGGUGACCGGCCACAUUGGGACUGAGAGACGGCCCAGACUGCUACGGGAGGCAGCAGGGGGGAAUAUUGCACAAUGGGCGGAAGCCUGAUGCAGCAACGCCGCGUGCGGGAUGACGGCCUUCGGGUUGUAAACCGCUUUCGCCUGUGACGAAGCGGGAGUGACGGUAAUGGGUAAAGAAGCACCGGCUAACUACGUG